rnacentral:rRNA from 1 species
ACGUACACUCCUGCGGGAGGCAGCAGUGGGGAAUAUUGGACAAUGGGCGCAAGCCUGAUCCAGCCAUGCCGCGUGAGUGAUGAAGGCCCUAGGGUUGUAAAGCUCUUUCACCGGUGAAGAUAAUGACGGUAACCGGAGAAGAAGCCCCGGCUAACUUCGUGCCAGCAGCCGCGGUAAUACGAAGGGGGCUAGCGUUGUUCGGAUUUACUGGGCGUAAAGCGCACGUAGGCGGACUAUUAAGUCAGGGGUGAAAUCCCGGGGCUCAACCCCGGAACUGCCUUUGAUACUGGUAGUCUUGAGUUCGAGAGAGGUGAGUGGAAUUCCGAGUGUAGAGGUGAUAUUCGUAGAUAUUCGGAGGAACACCAGUGGCGAAGGCGGCUCACUGGCUCGAUACUGACGCUGAGGUGCGAAAGCGUGGGGAGCAAACAGGAUUAGAAACCCUUGUAGUCCCA